rnacentral:rRNA from 1 species
GAUGAACGCUAGCGGCAGGCCUAACACAUGCAAGUCGAGGGGCAGCACGUCUUCGGAUGGUGGCGACCGGCGCACGGGUGCGUAACGCGUAUGCAACCUACCUCUUACAGUGGGAUAGCCCAGAGAAAUUUGGAUUAAUACCGCAUAGUAUACAGAUUCAGCAUUGGGACUGUAUUAAACAUUUAUGGGUAAGAGAUGGGCAUGCGUUCUAUUAGUUAGUUGGAGUGGUAACGGCACCCCAAGACAGCGAUAGAUAGGGCCCGUGAGAGGGGGAGUCCCCCACACUGGUACUGAGACACGGACCAGACUCCUACGGGAGGCAGCAGUGAGGAAUAUUGGACAAUGGACGAAAGUCUGAUGCAGCAACGCCGCGUGGAGGAUGACACAUUUCGGUGCGUAAAACUCCUUUUUAUAUGGGAAGAUAAUGACGGUACCAUAUGAAUAAGCACCGGCUAAACUCCGUGCCCAGCAGCCGUCGGUAAAAGUCAGUG